rnacentral:rRNA from 1 species
UACGAAGGUCCCGAGCGUUGUUCGGAAUCACUGGGCGUAAAGGGCGCGUAGGCGGCGUGGUAAGUCAGAUGUGAAAUCCCGGGGCUCAACCCCGGAACUGCAUCCGAUACUGCCGUGCUUGAGGGUUGGAGAGGUAGCUGGAAUUAUCGGUGUAGCAGUGAAAUGCGUGGAUAUCGAUAGGAACACUCGUGGCGAAGGCGAGCUACUGGACAACAUCUGACGCUGAGGCUCGAAGGCUAGGGGAGCAAAAGGG